GGUGGGGCCGGGCCGGAAGUGAGGCGCAGCGGAGUGGACGGCGGCGCCGGCGCCGGCCAUGGGGGAGCCGAGCGACCUGGACCGGCAGAUCGAGCAGCUGCGGCGCUGUGAGCUCAUCCGGGAGAGCGAAGUGAAGGCGCUGUGUGCCAAGGCCAGGGAGAUCCUGGUGGAGGAGAGCAACGUGCAGAGGGUCGACUCGCCGGUCACGGUGGGGGGGGAAUCUAUGGG